rnacentral:rRNA from 1 species
GACGAACGCUGGCGGCGUGCUUAACACAUGCAAGUCGAACGGAAAGGCCUGCUUUCCCUUGUGGAUUGCGGGUACUCGAGUGGCGAACGGGUGGGUAACACGUGAGUGAUCUGCCCCCAACUUGGGUAUAAGCCUGGGAAACUGGGUCUAAUUCCCGAUAGGACUGCAGGGUGGUGCCUGUGGUGGAAAACGAUUUUCUAGUGGUUGGGGAUGAGCUCGCGGCCUAUCAGCUUGUUGGUGGGGUAAUGUCCUACCAAGGCGGCGACGGGUAGCCGGCCUGAGAGGGUGGACGGCCACAUUGGGACUGAGAUACGGCCCAGACUCCUACGGGAGGCAGCAGUGGGGAAUCUUGCACAAUGGGCGGAAGCCUGAUGCAGCGACGCCGCGUGGGGGAUGACGGCCUUCGGGUUGUAAACUCCUUUCGACCGCGAGGAAGCCACCUGGUUGGAAGGGUGGUGACGGUAGUGGUAGAAGAAGCACCGGCUAACUACGUG